AAAAACCAAAAACCCACUUCUCCGCAACUCUUCCACAAACAACUCUUCCAUGAACAAACACCUAGCUCCGACUCCUCCUUCGCGACUCUUCCGUGAAAGAUUCUCCUCGUCGCUCUCGCCACUCUUGCAGCUUUGCUGGUAAAGUGCCAACACAUCGACUUUUUGGUGCUUCCUUCGGAGGCUCCUCCACCACAUCAAUUCCCUUCUCUCCUUACAUUUCCCACCGCCGAUUCGUCAGAUUCAAGGCCUCCCCUGCUCACGUUAGCCUCCGCCAUCACUUCUUCAGCACCCUGCAGGCUAUCCCCACCUUCACAGCAGCCAACAGAGAUGGAUCACUUGACGAUCUUGAUAGCUGUAGCGAUUGCCGCAAGCAAAGGUUCUCCAUUUUAAAAGCUCUAUUCGGGCACAACACACCGGAGAAGGCGAAUCCCGAUUUGGGGGAUUCUGCUGUCCUGGCCUCGGGCUUAUGGAUCUCAGCGCUGAUCCACGACCAGAGUAAGAAAAAAUACAAGAAGAAGUCAGAGGAGGAUGUGCCUCCAUCACGGCGUCCACAGUGGUCAUUUCGCGCUUCGGAAUAUGAGAAUGGCUUCAGUGACUUUGGCGAAGAGUACCCCAUCACCUCUUCUCGGCAACAUUAGAAUAUGUCAUAAACAUAAUAUGCAUGGAGGGACCAUUGGUGAUGUGUAGUUAGAUCUAGAGGUCUAGCAGAGAUUUAGGGGAUCUUAGUUGAGGUGGGUUUGGGUUGCCAUGGGAUCCCAAUGUAGGCAUUCAAUUUUCAUUUCCAUAGGGAGCUACAACUCACGAGUGCUACAUUCCUAAAGGUCUUUAUAUGUGAGAGUGAGCCCCUCUAAAAUGGACACUUCUCAGCAUUACCUACCUCUACCAGUAAUGGAAGUUGUUAUUGAUUCAAUGACCUAUAGUAAGUUGAAUGUGCUUCACUGGCACAUUGUGGAUGAGCAAUCCUUCCCCUUGGAGAUACCAUCAUUUCCAAGAUUGUGGUUUGACUCAUACUCUUAUUCCAAGCAAUACACUGUGGCCAAUGAUCUUGAAAUUGUACACACAAAGAAGGGGAAUAAAUGUCUUAGCUAAGAUUGAUGUUCCAGGCCAUUCUCACUCCUGGUUGACGGAUAUCCUGAUUUUUGGCUAUCAUCAGAAUACAAUCAGCCUCUUGAUGUUAGUAAGGAAUUCACAUUCGAAGUAAUAGAAGGAAUUCUUUCUGGUAAAAUUCAUUUCCUCGUUAGUAUCUAUUUUUUAUGCAUUAAGGUUAGAGAACUUUAUGUAAUAACUUGGCCUCACAUAACAGAAAUAUGUUCAGAGUUUUCAUAUAGAUAUUUGCAUCCAUAUGAAACAAUAUUAUCAAAAGGUAUGUGACAUUGCCUUAGAGAUUGCCUCGAGAAGAAAUAAUUGAGUAUCUGACUAACUCUAGGCAUUAAAACCAUGAAAGGUGAGUGAGUUCAAUCAAGCAUAGCUGAGAAGAGUUCCUUGCAAGAAACACUACAUGAACCCUUCAUUGCUUAGACAGCCACCUUUGCAAAAAGAACUCAUCACAUAGACUACUAAGUUUCUCUCUUAAAGUAGUAGGCAUGACCAAAAAGUGUUUUGUUUUUCUUCUCUAUUGCACCUUUCUAGUUUUCAAAUUCUAUGUUGGUCGAGGUUCGCAUUGUCUCGUUAUUGACUCACAAACAAGGAGAUAGUUGGGGUUUGGUUGAUUUAUUGGUAAGAUUGGACUCUAGGUGGAGAAGGCUACUUCUGACCUGAAGAAUACUAAUAACAAGCUUGAGCACACUGUUAAUUACUCGGGUUCCUACUAAUUCUAGUUUGAGUAAACAUUAUCUAUACUUUACGAGAGAUUUUUAUUCGACAACCUAUAGCUAAGAAUUUCUAACAAAUAAUUGUGGUUUUUCAUUUUUUAACUUAGAUCCAGUCGCAACUAUUGCAUUGAUAUAAUCUUUCUAUGUAUUAUUCUUGGUAUUGCUGCAUAUCGUCAUUGUAGCUUGCACUAACGUAACAAGGCUUCUGCUUCUCGACUCCGACUCCAUGGCUUGCCGGCGGCAUAUGCUUCUCAAAGUCAUCAUCCUUGUGGACAAAGGGUAGAUUUCCAUCUCAUUCAAGAGCAAAAAGUACCGUGCAUAUAGACACACACAUUUCGAUGUUGGGAAGAUAUCAUUGAUGAAUAGUAUGCUCUAAACUAUUUUAUGUAUUUUUUAGCUUACUUUUGUCCAGAGAGUUAGUUCCUUUGGUGAAAUUAUACAUCUAUGAUGCUUAA